rnacentral:tRNA from 1 species
UCAGAUGAGCGUUUAUAAGCCUUAAAAGAUUUAUUCCAUCUGUAUUUACUAAAUAUGGUUUUACUAGUAUCCAUCAAUAGGACU